AGCGAACGCUGGCGGCAGGCUUAACACAUGCAAGUCGAGCGGGCCCUUCGGGGUCAGCGGCAGACGGGUGAGUAACGCGUGGGAACGUGCCCUUCGGUUCGGAAUAACUCAGGGAAACUUGAGCUAAUACCGGAUACGCCCUUAUGGGGAAAGGCUUGCUGCCGAAGGAUCGGCCCGCGUCUGAUUAGCUAGUUGGUGAGGUUAUGGCUCACCAAGGCGACGAUCAGUAGCUGGUCUGAGAGGAUGAUCAGCCACACUGGGACUGAGACACGGCCCAGACUCCUACGGGAGGCAGCAGUGGGGAAUAUUGGACAAUGGGGGCAACCCUGAUCCAGCCAUGCCGCGUGAGUGAUGACGGCCUUGGGGUUGUAAAGCUCUUUUCUCCGGGACGAUAAUGACGGUACCGGAGGAAUAAGCCCCGGCUAACUUCGUG
rnacentral:rRNA from 1 species